ACAGUGCUGCAUGGCUGUCGUCAGCUCGUGUCGUGAGAUGUUGGGUAAGUCCCGCAACGAGCCGCAACCCUUAUCCCCAGUUGCCAUCAGGUAAAGCUGGGAACUCUGGGGAGACUGCCGGUGAUAAACCGGAGGAAGGCGGGGAUGACGUCAAGUCCUCAUGGCCCUUACAUCCCGGGCUACACACGUGCUACAAUGGCAGGUACAGAGGGCUGCGAAGCCGCGAGGUGGAGCGAAUCCCAGAAAAACCUGUCUCAGUCCGGAUUGAAGUCUGCAACUCGACUUCAUGAAGGCGGAAUCGCUAGUAACCGCGAAUCAGCAGGUCGCGGUGAAUACGUUCCGGGCCUU
rnacentral:rRNA from 1 species